rnacentral:rRNA from 1 species
UGCGGGGGGAGCAAGCGUUGUUCGGAUUUACUGGGCGUAAAGGGCGCGUAGGCGGCGCCGCAAGUCGACUGUGAAAUCUCCGGGCUUAACCCGGAAAGGUCAGCCGAUACUGCGGGGCUAGAGUGCAGAAGGGGCAACUGGAAUUCUCGGUGUAGCGGUGAAAUGCGUAGAUAUCGAGAGGAACACCUGCGGCGAAGGCGGGUUGCUGGGCUGACACUGACGCUGAUGCGCGAAAGCUAGGGGAGCGAACGGG